GACGAACGCUGGCGGCGUGCCUAAUACAUGCAAGUCGAGCGGACGUUUUUGAAGCUUGCUUCAAAAACGUUAGCGGCGGACGGGUGAGUAACACGUGGGCAACCUGCCUUAUCGACUGGGAUAACUCCGGGAAACCGGGGCUAAUACCGGAUAACAUCUAGCACCUCCUGGUGCCAGAUUAAAAGAGGGCCUUCGGGCUCUCACGGUGAGAUGGGCCCGCGGCGCAUUAGCUAGUUGGCGGGGUAAUGGCUCCCCAAGGCGACGAUGCGUAGCCGACCUGAGAGGGUGAUCGGCCACACUGGGACUGAGACACGGCCCAGACUCCUACGGGAGGCAGCAGUAGGGAAUCUUCCGCAAUGGACGAAAGUCUGACGGAGCAACGCCGCGUGAGUGAUGAAGGGUUUCGGCUCGUAAAGCUCUGUUAUGAGGGAAGAACACGUACCGUUCGAAUAGGGCGGUACCUUGACGGUACCUCAUCAGAAAGCCACGGCUAACUACGUGCCAGCCGCCGCGGUAA
rnacentral:rRNA from 1 species